AGGUCAGGUCCUUUUAGCGGGAACCUAAACUUCCUGGAGCUGCAUUCGAAUAUCGUUGGAUGUUGAUGCUGGAACUGGCGUGAACAGGAAGUUGGGGGAGGUACUCAAUGGAAGGGUAAAUACCAGUGACCUCAGCAGACCAGCUAAUCAUCCACAUCCCACCAGUUUGCAAGUGGACCAACCUUUGUGAAGAACUUGUGGCCACGGAUAUUCUGCGGUGACGGGC